GAUGAACGCUGGCGGCGUGCCUAAUACAUGCAAGUCGAGCGAACAGACGAGGAGCUUGCUCCUCUGACGUUAGCGGCGGACGGGUGAGUAACACGUGGAUAACCUACCUAUAAGACUGGGAUAACUUCGGGAAACCGGAGCUAAUACCGGAUAAUAUAUUGAACCGCAUGGUUCAAUAGUGAAAGGCGGUUUUGCUGUCACUUAUAGAUGGAUCCGCGCCGCAUUAGCUAGUUGGUAAGGUAACGGCUUACCAAGGCGACGAUGCGUAGCCGACCUGAGAGGGUGAUCGGCCACACUGGAACUGAGACACGGUCCAGACUCCUACGGGAGGCAGCAGCAGGGAAUCUUCCGCAAUGGGCGAAAGCCUGACGGAGCAACGCCGCGUGAGUGAUGAAGGUCUUCGGAUCGUAAAACUCUGUUAUUAGGGAAGAACAAAUGUGUAAGUAACUAUGCACGUCUUGACGGUACCUAAUCAGAAAGCCACGGCUAACUACGUG
rnacentral:rRNA from 1 species